UACCAGCACCCCGAGUGGUCGGGACGUUUAUUGGGCCUAAAGCAUCCGUAGCCGGUUCUACGAGUCUUCCGUUAAAUCCAACUGCUUAACAGGUGGGCUGCGGAAGAUACUAUAGAGCUAGGAGGCGGGAGAGGCAAGCGGUACUCGAUGGGUAGGGGUAAAAUCCGUUGAUCCAUUGAAGACCACCAGUGGCGAAGGCGGCUUGCCAGAACGCGCUCGACGGUGAGGGAUGAAAGCUGGGGGAGCAAACCGGG
rnacentral:rRNA from 1 species